AAACAGUUAAUAUAUUCAAUAUCCAUUCAUUAUUAAAAACUUUCUAUAAACUAGGUAUAGAAAGAAACUUUCUCAAACAGAUAAAAUGAAUUUACAAUAAAACCUAAUGCUAGCAAUAUUGUGGCAGACAAACCUUACAAUGAUCCCCAUUGCUCCUUACUCGCUGAUGUGUAUGCUGUUGUACAAUCCUCUCCCACAGAGUAUGAGUGGGACAUGAGACUUUCUUAUAACCAAUAAAAUAUGGCAAAGGUGACGUAAUGUCACUCUUAGUAGGUUAAAUCAUGUACCCUAUCUUAUAAUUUAGCAGUCAAAGAAUGUCCUUGCAUGUUUGAUGUGAUAAGCAGACAAUAAAGAAAUCUACUUGGCUUGAAACUACAGUUGCCUCUAGGACAUGAAGAUGACCUUCAGCCAACAGCCAACAAGACUUUGAAGCUUUCAUUCACGUAUUCACAAGGAAAUGAAUUCUGCCAACUACUUGAAUUAACUUGGAAGUAGAUUCUUCCUCAAUGGUGCCUCCAGAUGAGAAUACAGUGGGCCUGGCAACUUGAGUUCAGCCUGACCCUGUACAGAACACUGAUUUACCCAUGCCCAGAUUUAUCUGAUCAACAGAAACUAUGAGGGACUUCAAAUACGUGACAAUAGAGACAAAUGAAUGAGGAAAAGAAAUACAAAAAUAUACCUUUUAUCAUGAGGAUUAUUCUUUCCUGAAGGACGCGUGAGACAUUUGGUGCAGAAGACCUGGGUCAGAGGGACUCCUUCGGGAGACCAGUCUCCUGUCCUCAUCCUCACUCCGUGAAGAGAUCCACCUAUGACUUUGGGUCCUCAGACCAACCAGCCCAAGGAACAUCUCACCAAUUUCAAAUUGGGUAAGCGGUCUUUUCACUCUCUUCUCCAGGCUCUCUCGCUACCCUUCAAUCUCCCUGUCCUUCCAAUUCCUGUUCUUUUUCCUCUCUAGUAGAGACAAAGGAGACACAUUUUAUCAGUGGACCCAAAACUCCGGCACAGGUCACGGACUCAGAAAGACAGCCUUCCCUUGGUGUUUAAUCAUUGUGGGGAUGCCUGCCUGAUUAUUCACUCACAUUCCAUUGGUGUCUGAUCACCACGGGGACGCCUGCCUUGGUCAUUCACUCACAUUCCCAUGGUGAUCUCCUCAGCUUAGCAGUUGAAGACUGAUGCUGCCUGAUCACCUCAGAAGCCCCCUGGACCAUCAAGGAUGCCGAGCUUCAAGUAACUCUUACAGUGGAGGGUAAGUCCAUCCCUUGUUUAAUCGAUAACGGGGGCUACCCACUCCACAUUACCUUCUUUUGAAGGGCCUGUUUUCCCUUGGCCCCAUAACUGUUCUGAGUAUUGACAGCCAAGCUUCAAAACCCCUUAAAACUCCCCCACUCUGGUGCCAACUUGGACAACAUUCUUUUAUGUACUCUUUUUCAGUUAUCCCCACCUGCCCAGUUCCCUUAUUAGGCCGAGACAUUUUAACCAAAUUAUCUGCUUCCCUGAUUAUUCCUGGACCACAGCCACAUCUCAUUGCCACCCUUCUUCCCAACCCAGAGCCUCCUUCACAUCUUCCUCUCAUAUCCCCCCACCUUAACCCACAAGUAUGGGACACCUCCACACCCUCCCUGGCAACCGAUCACAUGCCCAUUACUAUCUCGUUAAAACCUAAUCACCCCACCCAAUGCCAGUAUCCCAUCCCAUAACAGGCUUUAAGGGGAUUAAA
rnacentral:lncRNA from 1 species